AACGUAGGACACGAGCGUUAUCCGGAGUUACUGGGCGUAAAGGGCGCGUAGGCGGCCUUCUAAGUCGAACGUGAAAUCCCCGGGCUCAACCCGGGAACUGCGUCCGAUACUGGAUGGCUUGGAUUCGGGAGAGGGAUGCGGAAUUCCAGGUGUAGCGGUGAAAUGCGUAGAUAUCAAGAGGAACACCUGCGGCGAAGGCGGGUUGCUGGGCUGACACUGACGCUGAUGCGCGAAAGCUAGGGGAGCGAACGGG
rnacentral:rRNA from 1 species